UCCUGGCUCAGAUUGAACGCUGGCGGCAUGCUUUACACAUGCAAGUCGAACGGCAGCACGGGUGCUUGCACCUGGUGGCGAGUGGCGGACGGGUGAGUAAUGCAUCGGAACGUGUCCUAAAGUGGGGGAUAACGCAUCGAAAGAUGUGCUAAUACCGCAUAUUCUCUGAGGAGGAAAGUAGGGGAUCGAAAGACCUUAUGCUUUUGGAGCGGCCGAUGUCUGAUUAGCUAGUUGGUAGGGUAAUGGCUUACCAAGGCGACGAUCAGUAGUUGGUCUGAGAGGACGACCAGCCACACUGGGACUGAGACACGGCCCAGACUCCUACGGGAGGCAGCAGUGGGGAAUUUUGGACAAUGGGCGCAAGCCUGAUCCAGCAAUGCCGCGUGAGUGAAGAAGGCCU
rnacentral:rRNA from 1 species